rnacentral:rRNA from 1 species
UACGUAGGUGGCAAGCGUUGUCCGGAUUUACUGGGCGUAAAGAGCGCGCAGGCGGUCGUUCAAGUCGCGUGUGAAAGCCCCCGGCUCAACUGGGGAGGGUCACGCGAUACUGAUCGACUCGAAGGCAGGAGAGGGUAGUGGAAUUCCCGGUGUAGUGGUGAAAUGCGUAGAUAUCGGGAAGAACACCAAUGGCGAAGGCAGCUUUCUGGGACGGUACUGACGCUGAGACGCGAAAGCGUGGGGAGCGAACAGG